UACGGGGGGGGCAAGCGUUGUUCGGAAUUACUGGGCGUAAAGGGCUCGUAGGCGGCCAACUAAGUCAGACGUGAAAUCCCCCGGCUUAACCAGGGAACUGCGUCUGAUACUGGAUGGCUUGAGUUUGGGAGAGGGAUGCGGAAUUCCAGGUGUAGCGGUGAAAUGCGUAGAUAUCUGGAGGAACACCGGUGGCGAAGGCGGCAUCCUGGACCGGUAUUGACGCUGAGGCGCGAAAGCCAGGGGAGCAAACGGG
rnacentral:rRNA from 1 species